UCCAAAAUCUAAACCGAAGCCCAAAAUCGAUCUAAGGAAGCAGGCCUGAUCUAAAGCCUGAAAACAGAUUUCCGGCCAUUUUAUCAAGAACUCGAAAUAUAUAAAGCCCAGGCCCACACAAAUUAGGGUUUUCAAGUUCCGAAACCCUAGCUCUAUAAAUACUACCCCUUCAGCAAAAGCGAGAUCUGGUUUUAUCUGUUCGAUUUCAUACGCAGAGAGUGAGACACAAAGAAAGGAAAAAAGUUGAACCAAGAUGAGAGCUAAGUGGAAGAAGAAGCGCAUGAGGAGGCUGAAGAGGAAGCGCCGAAAGAUGAGACAAAGAUCCAAGUAGGUUAAGCACGGGGACAAGAAGAUGAUUCCCUUUCAUAGGCCUUCAUCUUUUUAAUCAGCUGCUGUAAUGAGAUUUGUGGCAGUUGUGAUGAGUGGUGGUGACCUUGAAGGGGGAUUUUAAUCAUACUGUCUACCGAGUUUCUACAAAUUAAGCAAGUUUUAGGGUUAAAUGUUUAGCCCUUUAGUCUCUUUUAUAAGAUUCUUAAGGGCCUUUGAAUUUCUUGUUAGACAUAUGUUCUCUAAUUUGAAGGCUGAGUGGGUUUUUUAUGGAUUAA